CCGGCACGGGUGAGUAACACGUAUCCAACCUGCCGUCUACUCUUGGACAGCCUUCUGAAAGGAAGAUUAAUACAAGAUGGCAUCAUGAGUCCGCAUGUUCACAUGAUUAAAGGUGUUCCGGUAGACGAUGGGGAUGCGUUCCAUUAGAUAGUAGGCGGGGUAACGGCCCACCUAGUCUUCGAUGGAUAGGGGUUCUGAGAGGAAGGUCCCCCACAUUGGAACUGAGAUACGGUCCAA
rnacentral:rRNA from 1 species